rnacentral:rRNA from 1 species
AUUGAACGCUGGCGGCAGGCUUAACACAUGCAAGUCGAACGAGUGGCGGACGGGUGAGUAAUGUAUGGGAACGUAGCUAAUGGAGGGGGAUAACUACUGGAAACUGUGGCUAAUACCGCAUACCAUAGGAUGAGCCCAUGUGGGAUUAGGUAGUUGGUGGGGUAAAGGCUCACCAAGGCGACGAUCCCUAGCUGGUCUGAGAGGACGACCAGCCACACUGGGACUGAGACACGGCCCAGACUCCUACGGGAGGCAGCAGUGGGGAAUAUUGCGCAAUGGGGGCAACCCUGACGCAGCCAUGCCGCGUGAAUGAAGAAGGCCUUCGGGUUGUAAAGUACUUUCGGCAGAGAGGCGGUAACUGCAGAAGAAGCACCGGCUAACUACGUGCCAGCAGCCGCGGUAAUUC